rnacentral:rRNA from 1 species
UAGGGAAUCUUCCACAAUGGGCGAAAGCCUGAUGGAGCAACGCCGCGUGUGUGAUGAAGGGUUUCGGCUCGUAAAACNCCGUUGUAAGAGAAGAAUGACAUUGAGAGUAACUGUUCAAUGUGUGACGGUAUCUUACCAGAAAGGAACGGCUAAAUACGUGCCAC